rnacentral:rRNA from 1 species
GUGCCAGCAGCCGCGGUAAUACGAAGGGUGCAAGCGUUAAUCGGAAUUACUGGGCGUAAAGCGUGCGUAGGUGGUUGGCUAAGUCCGAUGUGAAAGCCCUGGGCUCAACCUGGGAAUGGCAUUGGAUACUGGCUGGCUGGAGUGCGGUAGAGGGCAGCGGAAUUUCCGGUGUAGCGGUGAAAUGCGUAGAGAUCGGAAGGAACACCCGUGGCGAAGGCGGCUGCCUGGACCAGCACUGACACUGAGGCACGAAAGCGUGGGGAGCAAACAGGAUUAGAUACCCUGGUAGUCCACGCCCUAAACGAUGCGAACUGGACGUUGGGCUCAACUUGGAGCUCAGUGUCGAAGCUAACGCGUUAAGUAGACCGCCUGGGGAGUACGGUCGCAAGAUUAAAACUCAAAGGAAUUGACGG